rnacentral:rRNA from 1 species
UACGAAGGACCCGAGCGUUAUCCGGAUUUAUUGGGUUUAAAGGGUGCGUAGGCGGAUUAGUAAGUCAGUGGUGAAAGCCCAUCGCUUAACGGUGGAAUUGCCAUUGAUACUGCUAGUCUUGAGUAUGGUUGAGGUGGGCGGAAUGUGUCAUGUAGCGGUGAAGUGCUUAGAUAUGACACAGAACACCAAUUGCGAAGGCAGCUCGCUAAACUGUAACUGACGCUGAGGCACGAAAGCGUGGGGAUCAAACAGG